UUAUUAGAUACAGAACCAACCUAGGCCCCGCCUAGUCACGUUGGUGAUUCAUAAUAACCUGGCGAAUCGCACGGCCCGCCCGGCGAUGAACCAUUCAAGUUUCUGAACUAUCAGCUAUGGACGGUAGGGUAUUGGCCUACCGUGGCGUUGACGGUUAACGAAGGGUCAGGGCCCGGCCUCGGAGAAGGAGCCUGAGAGACGGCUACUACAUCUAAGGAAGGCAGCAGGCGCGCAAAUUACCCAAUCCUGAUACAGGGAGGUAGUGACAAGAAAUAACAAUACAGGGCAAUUCUGUCUUGUAAUUGGAAUGAGUAGAUUUUAAAUCUCUUUACGAGUAUCAAUUGGAGGGCAAGUCUGGUGCCAGCAGCCGCGGUAAUUCCAGCUCCAAUAGCGUAUAUUAAAGUUGUUGCGGUUAAAAAGCUCGUAGUUGGAUUUCUGCCUCGGGCGACCGGUCCACCUUCCCUACRGGGAUGCGUCGGUAUCAGGUUUGACCUUGGCUUUUUCUUGGGAUUCGUGAUCCUCGUACUUAACUGUGCGUUGACCGUGUUCCAAGACCUUUACUUUGAGGAAAUUAGA
rnacentral:rRNA from 1 species